GGUAGGAUGACUGAAAAAGUGGUGGACUGUAGAUCCAUGAAUAGAGGUUUAAGCCCUCUUCUUAUC
rnacentral:tRNA from 1 species